rnacentral:rRNA from 1 species
AGCAGCCGCGGUAAUUCCAGCUCCAAUAGCGUAUAUUAAAGUUGUUGCAGUUAAAAAGCUCGUAGUUGAAUUUCGGGAUCAAUACGUCGGUCGUGCUUCGGUACGUACUAACGUCAUUGAUUUCUCCCUUCUGACGAAUCGUGAUGUCAUUAAUUUGGUGUUACGGGGAGUUAGGACUGUUACUUUGAAAAAUUAGAGUGUUUAAAGCAAGCAAUCGCUCGAAUACAUUAGCAUGGAAUAAUGAAAUAGGACGUUCGAACCUAUUUUGUUGGUUUCUAGGAUCGACGUAAUGAUUAAUAGGGAUAGUUGGGGGCAUUAGUAUUCAAUUGUCAGAGGUGAAAUUCUUGGAUUUAUUGAAGACUAACUACUGCGAAAGCAUUUGCCAAGGAUGUUUUCAUUAAUCAAGAACGAAAGUUAGGGGAUCGAAGACGAUCAGAUACCGUCGUAGUCUUAACCAUAAACUAUGCCGACUAAGGGAUCGGAUGAUGUUAAUUUAUAAUGA